CACGAGAAAGUGGAGCAAUCCAUGAGUAAAGUGGCGUACGGGUGAGUAACACGUGGAUCAUCUACCUUUUAGUGGGGAAUACCCCUGGGAAACCGGGGACAAUACCGCAUAAGCUCGUGAGAGGAAAGCAGCAAUGCGCUGAAAGAGGAGUCCGCGGCUGAUUAGCUAGUUGGCGGGGUAACGGCCCACCAAGGCGACGAUCGGUAGCCGGCCUGAGAGGGCACACGGCCACACUGGCACUGAAACACGGGCCAGACUCCUACGGGAGGCAGCAGUGGGGAAUCUUGCACAAUGGGGGAAACCCUGAUGCAGCGACGCUGCGUGAGCGAUGAAGCCCUUCGGGGUGUAAAGCUCUUUCGACGGGAACGAUAAUGACGGUACCCGAAGAAGAAGCUGCGGCUAACUACGUGCCAGCAGCCGCGGUAAUACGUAGGCAGCAAGCGUUGUUCGGAAUUACUGGGCGUAAAGGGUGUGUAGGCGGUGCUCUAAGUCUGUUGUGAAAUCUCCCGGCUUAACUGGGAGGGUGCGGCGGAAACUGGAAUGCUAGAGUAUGGGAGAGGUAAGCGGAAUUCCUGGUGUAGCGGUGAAAUGCGUAGAUAUCAGGAGGAACACCUGUGGUGUAGACAGCUUACUGGACCAUGACUGACGCUGAGACACGAAAGCGUGGGUAGCAAACAGGAUUAGAUACCCUGGUAGUCCACGCCCUAAACGAUGCAUACUUGGUGUGAGCGAUUCAUUUCGUUCGUGCC
rnacentral:rRNA from 1 species